ACGCUCGACACCUACGGGAGGCAGCAGUGGGGGAUAUUGCACAAUGGGGGAAACCCUGAUGCAGCAACGCCGCGUGAAGGAAGAAGGUCUUCGGAUUGUAAACUUCUGUCCUCAGGGAAGAUAAUGACGGUACCUGAGGAGGAAGCUCCGGCUAACUACGUGCCAGUAGCCGCGGUAAUCUGAGCGGGCUGGCAAGGC
rnacentral:rRNA from 1 species